AUGAUGUGGGCGGUUGGCCGGCCGGCCGGCCGGUCAACACGCGUAGUACUCGACGAGCUCGUCCAGCGACUCGGGCUGCGGGUCCGCGUUCUCCAGCAUCCAGAGGAGGUGCUCGAACAGCACCACCUCGCAGCCGAUGAUGGUGCCGCCGGCGCCGUCGCCGCCCACGCCGCCGCCCGAGCGGUCCACGAGGUUCUGGAACAGCGGGUGGCAGACGAGGUCGGCGGCGAUGAGGUAGCGGCGGCGCGACUUGCCGACGUACACCGGGUGGAGGCCCGGGGGCACGCCGUCGGCGCCGUGGAACGACGCCGCGCCGCCCCCGCCCCCGCCGACGCCGCGGCCCCACGGGUCCUCCUCCUCGCCGCCGCCGUGCGACACCGCCGAGGGCGUGCGGGAGAUCCGGCUCGACGAGUGCCACCGCCUGAUCAUGCACUUGAGCUUGCUGCUCAGCCCGCCCUUCGCCAUUGGAAGCAGAGAGAGAUGGAGAGGAUGUUCUUGGGGUUCAGUCGGAAAGAGAAAGGAGGCGUAGGGAUGACUUGCAGGGUCGGGGAGGUGGCGAGAGGUUAUAUAUAG
rnacentral:rRNA from 1 species